CAUGCAAGUCGAGGGGAAACGACAUCGAAAGCUUGCUUUUGAUGGGCGUCGACCGGCGCACGGGUGAGUAACGCGUAUCCAACCUGCCCACCACUUGGGGAUAACCUUGCGAAAGUAAGACUAAUACCCAAUGACGUCUCUAGAAGACAUCUGAAGGAGAUUAAAGAUUUAUCGGUGAUGGAUGGGGAUGCGUCUGAUUAGCUUGUUGGCGGGGUAACGGCCCACCAAGGCGACGAUCAGUAGGGGUUCUGAGAGGAAGGUCCCCCACAUUGGAACUGAGACACGGUCCAAACUCCUACGGGAGGCAGCAGUGAGGAAUAUUGGUCAAUGGACGAGAGUCUGAACCAGCCAAGUAGCGUGCAGGAUGACGGCCCUAUGGGUUGUAAACUGCUUUUAUGAGGGAAUAAAGUGAGAGUCGUGACUCUUUUUGCAUGUACCUUAUGAAUAAGGACCGGCUAAUUCCGUGCCAGCAGCCGCGGUAAUACGGAAGGUCCGGGCGUUAUCCGGAUUUAUUGGGUUUAAAGGGAGCGUAGGCCGGAGAUUAAGCGUGUUGUGAAAUGUAGACGCUCAACGUCUGCACUGCAGCGCGAACUGGUUUCCUUGAGUACGCACAAAGUGGGCGGAAUUCGUGGUGUAGCGGUGAAAUGCUUAGAUAUCACGAAGAACUCCGAUUGCGAAGGCAGCUCACUGGAGCGCAACUGACGCUGAAGCUCGAAAGUGCGGGUAUCGAACAGGAUUAGAUACCCUGGUAGUCCGCACGGUAAACGAUGGAUGCCCGCUGUUGGUCUGAAUAGGUCAGCGGCCAAGCGAAAGCAUUAAGCAUCCCACCUGGGGAGUACGCCGGCAACGGUGAAACUCAAAGGAAUUGACGGGGGCCCGCACAAGCGGAGGAACAUGUGGUUUAAUUCGAUGAUACGCGAGGAACCUUACCCGG
rnacentral:rRNA from 1 species